UUUCAAGUUUAGAUGUGACAUCCACGUGGUGUAUCAGAACAUGAAGAAAUAUGGUUCUAAUGCAGAGUGGAUUAGCUCGUUUGUGAUAAAUCUUGCAUUUUUAAUCUCUCAAGUGUUUUAAUUUGAUCUACAUGACCUUGAUCGCCACGACAAAAAAAGGUCGAGAGGCACAGCGGUCGUUAUGCCAGGGCAAGGAAGACCGAGCAAAGCGAAAACAGCACUUGGAAAAAUCAGAGUGCAGUUCGUGGCUGGAGGAAUCUGGAAACCCCUGCCAGGGCCAGAGAGGGAGGAGAGCUGCCUAACGUGCUUAGCAACACUUGGACUCCAACACACUGUGCCAAGUAAAUCCCUCCCCAUUGUUCUCGCCUGUGGCUGCCCCGGACAUUGCAGGACAAGCGCUGCUGCCCUGGGCCUAGAAUGGGAAAACACAGGCCGGCUGGCUUCCUCCGGACCCGUUAAUGGCAGGGCGGUGUGUGAGGUUGGCCUUGGCCCAGUGGUCCACCCUUCCCUGCCGGCGGCUCAGUGUACAGCCUGGGAAUGUCUAAGAAACAGGGUGCAGUCAGCUUCCAAAGCAGGAGUCCAAGCUCCCAGGGGCCCACCCUCCAUCCUGUAAGGCACAGCUACAGGAACUCAGCAAGAGGAAGCAUCCACAAGGACUCAGAGAUGCAAAUAAGGGCAAGUCCGCCUCACGCAGGCAGCAGGCAGCAGCUCAAGAAAACACAUUGAACAAACCCGAAGAGGUCCAUUCCAAGGCGUGCUCACCCUUUGGGUAGCUUCAGAAAUUGUGGGCCCUCUACAAGGUCGAGCAAGGAAAGCGUAGUCACACCAGCCUGAGGGUCUGGUUCAUUUCAUUCCUCCCUUAAAAGAUGUUUGGGGUUUUUUUGUUUUUGUUUUUGGAUACUGAGGAUUGAACCCAGGAGUGUCCCACCACUGAGCCACAUCCCCAGCCCUUUUUUAUAUUUUAGUGAGACAGGGUCUCAUAAGUUGCUGAGGCUGGCUGUGAACUCGAGGUCCUCCUGCCUCAGCCUCCUGAGCCACUGGGAUCACAGAUGUGCACCACCACACCCGGCUUCAAAGAUGUUAUCUGAGUGCCCAUUGUGUGCAGAAAUCAGACGUAAUAUCUUUCUUCUAGGAGGUUACUGUGCAGAAGGAGAGACAGAUAAAAAAAUAACCACUGUAGCUCAAAACAAAAUUAACCUAGUAAUCAUGACAGCGCCACCUAUCACCAGCCCAGCCACUGACCCAAAUUGAAUCCCUCCCUGUUCCUGGUUAGUGCUGUGUGGGCGUCAAAUAAUUCAAUUCCACAGGAACUUAGGAGGAAGUUCCUCUUCUUAGCCCCCUUAUAGAUUGGCCUCAUCUUAAAGGCGACGUUGAGACCCAAGAUACUGAGGAGUCUGCUUCCAGAGCUCUACUUAUUUCCACUAUUUCACAUUAAAGUGUCUGAGCAAAGUCCCUCGGGGCAGUGUGGGGGACAUUCUGGAAGGAAAUCCAGGAAAGCUUCAUGGAGGAGAAGGUACUGCAUGACGAGUUCAAUUCCCAAGGAAAAGAAAGAGGCUCUGCAGGCCCUGGUCCAAGAGCACACCAAGAGUUACGCAGGAACUUGAUUUGACUGUCAAUCACUGCUGGGAUAGUGUCUUUAAGGAGGCCCUCAUUCAGAUCUUGUUUAUUCUGUAACUCCUCCCGCUUGUCAAAGCAUCAUCUCAAAUUCCUCUUUGGAAGUUGGUGAGGAGCCCAACUCAUAUGCAGGCACCCCAGUGAUUCACUUGCUUCCCUUGAAACGUCCAGAAACGACAGGGUAUUUUGCCUUCUGAGAAGUGUCAGGUGACCAGCGAUCUUCUUGAGUUGCUGUUUGUAGUGGGGCGUGGCCGGAGUGCAACACAAACGAGAUUCUUGGGAACACUGGUGUGUGGCUUUUCACACUCAGGUGGGAAGGCUGAGAGAGUACCCAGAGCCCCAUCUAGUGCUCACCAGCAGGAGGUCCUUCAUGGACACUUGGCUCAUGCUGCUUGGUGAAAGUGGAGGUAGAGAAGGUGGACCCUGGAGGGACUGGAUCCCCCUUAGGGAUUAGCCUUGCCCAGCAGAGGGUGGGAGGCCCCUGCCAGGUUCCAAAGAGAAGGGGAAUAUCUUAGUCCAUUUUCUGUUGCUAUAAGAGAAUAUUUGAGGCCGGGUAAUUUAUAAAGAAAAGAGGUUUAUUUAGGCUUGUGGUUCUAGAGACUGACAAGGCUCCAGGAUCUGCUCUGAGAAUUUGGUGUGGCUUCAACUCAUGAUGGACAGUGGCAGAACUAGUGGGCACGUGUGGGAGGUGCCAGAUUGCAUCACAACAACCUAUUCCCACACUGUAACUGGCCAGUCCUGAGAGUUCUUGGAGAACUGUCCUUCAAGAACAGCAUAAAUCCCUCCAAAGGAACAAAUCAUCUCUUAAAGGCCCGGGGCUCUCAACACUUGGAUGGAAGACCAAUUCUCAACCCAGGCUCUGGUGGGGACAGACCCCAUUCAAACCAAAGCAGGUAGCAACGUGAUCAGAAGUAUGAUUUGGAGCUCUGCCUGAUGUCACAAGAAGCUCUAGCGUCCCUCCAUCUACCACUGAUAAGACAACCGGAAAACCAAGGUGACAGCUUGGAAAGACACAGAGACAUCAGUACCAACCACUGCACUCAACCUCAGCAAGAUCUCUCUUUACUUCAAGUGCACACAGCACCUUUACCAAAAUGACGUGAUACAGGGUCAUAAACUAAGUAACAACACAUUUGCCAAUAUUUAAGUCAUGUAGAGUGGAAGUGAAUGGAAUUAAAUCAGAAAUCAGUGACAAAAUGCUAUCUGGAAAUUCAAUUAAUAUUUGGAAAUUGAACAACAGACUUCUAAGUGAUCUAUCAGUCAAAGAAGGAAUCACAAAAGAAACUAUAAAAUAUUUAAAAACUGGAAGAAAACCUGUGAAAUGCAGCUCAUUCAAUACUUGGAAACAGUUUACAGCAUUAAGUGCUUGUUCUAGAAAGAAAGAAAGAUCUAGAGCCAAUAUCUAAGCUUCUUGAAUUAGAAAAAAGGAGAGCAAAGUAGAAUAAAAGUAGGUAGAAAGAAGAAAGUAAAACGAUAACAGCAGAAAUUAAUGAAAUAGAAACAGAAUAACAAUAGAGAAAAUACGCUCAUACAAAAGUUUGUUCUUUGAAAAGAUAAAUGAAUGUAUGAUAAAAUCCCUAACCAGGCUGAUCAAGAAAAAAAAAUAUAUAUAUAUAUAUAUACCAAUAUUAGGAGUGAAGGGGUUAAUCUGCAGGCAUAACCAGUCAGGAUAAC
rnacentral:lncRNA from 1 species